GACGAACGCUGGCGGCGUGCUUAACACAUGCAAGUCGUACGGUAAGGCCCUUUCUGGGGUACCCGAGUGGCGAACGGGUGGGUAACACGCGAGUAACCUGCCCACAACUUUGGGAUAACGCUAGUAAACUGGGGCUAAUACUUGAUAUGUGCUCCUUCUGCAUGGUGGGUGUGGGAAAGCUCGGGUGGUUGUGUAUGGACUGGCGGCCUAUCAGCUUGUUGGUGGGGUAGUGGCCUACCAAGGCGGCGACGGGUAGCUGGCCUGAGGGGGUGACCGGCCAAAUUGGGACGGAGAUACGGCCCAGACUCCUACGGGAGGCAGCAGUGGGGAAUAUUGCACAAUGGGCGCAAGCCUGAUGCAGCAACGCCGCGUGCGGGAUGACGGCCUUCGGGUUGUAAACCGCUUUCAGCAGGGACGAAGCUUUUUGUGAAGGUACCUGAAGAAGAAGCACCGGCUAACUACGU
rnacentral:rRNA from 1 species